UCAGAUUGUAGUUUAAUUUAAAUGUAAAGUUUGGGGCUUUAAGAUUGGAAUCUGAUUUCA
rnacentral:tRNA from 1 species